rnacentral:rRNA from 2 species
GGGUUGUGAGGUUAAGCGACUAAGCGUACACGGUGGAUGCCCUGGCAGUCAGAGGCGAUGAAGGGCGUGCUAAUCUGCGAUAAGCGCCGGUAAGGUGAUAUGAACCGUUAUAACCGGCGAUACCCGAAUGGGGAAACCCAGUGUGACUCGUCACACUAUCAUUAACUGAAUCCAUAGGUUAAUGAGGCGAACCGGGGGAACUGAAACAUCUAAGUACCCCGAGGAAAAGAAAUCAACCGAGAUUCCCCCAGUAGCGGCGAGCGAACGGGGAGGAGCCCAGAGCCUGAAUCAGCAUGUGUGUUAGUGGAAGCGUCUGGAAAGGCGCGCGAUACAGGGUGACAGCCCCGUACACAAAAGCGCAUGUGUUGUGAGCUCGAUGAGUAGGGCGGGACACGUGGUAUCCUGUCUGAAUAUGGGGGGACCAUCCUCCAAGGCUAAAUACUCCUGACUGACCGAUAGUGAACCAGUACCGUGAGGGAAAGGCGAAAAGAACCCCGGCGAGGGGAGUGAAAAAGAACCUGAAACCGUGUACGUACAAGCAGUGGGAGCACAGGUUUACCUGUGUGACUGCGUACCUUUUGUAUAAUGGGUCAGCGACUUAUAUUCUGUAGCAAGGUUAACCG